rnacentral:misc_RNA from 1 species
GAUGAAGAACGUAGCGAAAUGCGAUAAGUAAUGUGAAUUGCAGAAUUCAGUGAAUCAUCGAAUCUUUGAACGCACAUUGCGCCCGCCAGUAUUCUGGCGGGCAUGCCUGUUCGAGCGUCAUUUGUACCUUCAAGCUUUGCUUGGUGUUGGGUGUUUGUCUCGCCUUUGCGUGUAGACUCGCCUUAAAAUAAUUGGCAGCCGGCGUAUUGAUUUCGGAGCGCAGUACAUCUCGCGCUUUGCACUCAUAACGACAGCGUCCAAAAGUACAUUUUACACUCUUGACCUCGGAUCAGGUAGGGAUACCCGCUGAACUUAAGCAUAUCAAUAAGCGGAGGA